rnacentral:rRNA from 1 species
CCUACGGGCGGCAGCAGUGAGGAAUAUUGGUCAAUGGGCGCGAGCCUGAACCAGCCAAGUAGCGUGAAGGAAGACUGCCCUACGGGUUGUAAACUUCUUUUAUAAAGGAAUAAAGUGAGGCACGUGUGCCUUUUUGCAUGUACUCUAUGAAUAAGGAUCGGCUAACUCCGUGCCAGCAGCCGCGGUAAUACGGAGGAUCCGAGCGUUAUCCGGAUUUAUUGGGUUUAAAGGGAGCGUAGAUGGGUUGUUAAGUCAGUUGUGAAAGUUUGUGGCUCAACCGUAAAAUUGCAAUUGAUACUGGCAGUCUUGAGUGUGGUUGAGGUAGGCGGAAUUCGUGGUGUAGCGGUGAAAUGCUUAGAUAUCACGAAGAACUCCGAUUGCGAAGGCAGCUUACUAAGCUGCAACUGACAUUGAUGCUCGAAAGUGUGGGUAUCAAACAGGAUUAGAUACCCUUGUAGUC